GCCUGGUUGGCUUAGUGGGUUAAGCCUCAAAUUCUUGAUUUCGGCUUAGGUCAUGAUCUCAUGGUUCGUGAGUUCAAGCCCCACAUCAGGCU
rnacentral:tRNA from 1 species